rnacentral:rRNA from 1 species
CAGUAGCCGCGGUAACACCGAGGGUGCGAGCGUUAAUCGGAUUUACUGGGCGUAAAGCGUGCGUAGGCGGCUUCUUAAGUCGGAUGUGAAAUCCCUGAGCUUAACUUAGGAAUUGCAUUCGAUACUGGGAAGCUAGAGUAUGGGAGAGGAUGGUAGAAUUCCAGGUGUAGCGGUGAAAUGCGUAGAGAUCUGGAGGAAUACCGAUGGCGAAGGCAGCCAUCUGGCCUAAUACUGACGCUGAGGUACGAAAGCAUGGGGAGCAAACAGGAUUAGAUACCCCAGUAGUCCCUGUCUCUUAUAU